CAACGUAACAAUUUUUAUAAAUCAAUCACAGGAAUUGGCAUAGCAACUCAGUCAGUAUGUCAUGUGUUUGAACAGUACUUGAUAUCAAACGGACAAUCGCUAGAAGAUUUCAUUAAUCUACAUCGUCAUGAUCUUUGCCAUUUAUGUUACAACAAUGUUAAAUGUCCACAUUGUACUACAGGUUAUCAGCUCCCUUAUACCAAAGUACU
rnacentral:lncRNA from 1 species